rnacentral:misc_RNA from 1 species
AAGUCGUAACAAGGUUUCCGUAGGUGAACCUGCGGAAGGAUCAUUAAAAAAUCUUUCGAGCCGCAAGGCUCUACUAUUUUGUGAAGCGUUUGCUGUGUGAGCGAGCCGUAAGGAGAAGAGGGAUCGUCUUGUGGAGAAGUGGAAUGAUGGUGGUGAGGCACUGCCUUAUCACCUAAUGGCACGUCUCCUAUGUCUCUUUUUUCCAUAUGCUGCGCGCACACACACACACUUAUUAUAAAUGUGUAUGUUUUUGACGUUAUUGAGGUUGCCUAUUGCGCAUCAUUAUUAAUGUGUAUAUACAACUUUCAACAGUGGAUCUCUCGGUUCUU